UUCUUGGCUUCUUUUGGUUGCAGCCGUGCUGUGCUGGGGGGUCUGCUCCAGCCCCCAGUCACCUUAGACUCUCCAAAGCCUGAAGGUGACAGUGGCUAAAGCUGCAAAACAGAAAAGAUGAUGACCCUCCCUUCCCUUUGGGAGCUCCAUCCCAGUGUUAUGUUCUGGGCAUUCAUCUAUCCUCUCAUCAGCUUUUGAUCUACCACAUCUUGGCUAAACUUUACCUCAGAUACUGCUGAUAUUUACUGAUACAAUUGGCUCUGGUAAGUUUUUUAAAAGGACAUAAAACUAUAUUAGAAUUGAAUAUAUCCAGGAUAACAUCUACUUGGAAAGCUGCCGUAAUUGUCUAGAAUAUCCCUAAUUAGGUCAACAGAGAACACAGAAACAAAACUUGGUUCAUAAAGUGUCAUGUUUUUAGAAGCUCUGACAAAGGCAAGUUAUGGUUUUGAUGCCUUUCUAUCCAUGUUUGCAUAGUCUGUAUACAGCUGCACAAAAGAAGCUCCAUGCCAAAUAUGCUCAAAACAGCCUGUGCCAGAAUGAACAGACAAUGUCAUCACACAAAAUGAUCCUGUGGGUCAGUGUUCUUUUGUAACUUUAACAUUAAUCACUGUGUUCUAGAAAAAGAGAGAGAAGAAAAGGAAUGGUCAUUUUUUUCUGUCAUUUCUUAUUAAAAAUAACAUUUCCUCAGGAUUGUAACAAAAUUCUAGAAC
rnacentral:lncRNA from 1 species